rnacentral:rRNA from 1 species
GAUGAACGCUAGCUACAGGCUUAACACAUGCAAGUCGAGGGGUAACGAGAGGGAAGCUUGCUUUCCUUGUCGACGACCGGCGCACGGGUGAGUAACGCGUAUCCAACCUGCCCCCAACUAGGGAAUAACCUUGCGAAAGUAAGACUAAUACCCUAUAAUUUCCUCAGAUGUCAUCUGACGAGGAAUAAAGAUUUAUCGGUUGUGGAUGGGAUGCGUCUGAUUAGGUUGUUUGCGGGGUAACGGCCCAACCAGGCCACGAUCAGUAGGGGUUCUGAAGGGAAGGGCCCCCACAUUGGAACUGAGACACGGUCCAAACUCCUACGGGAGGCAGCAGUGAGGAAUAUUGGUCAAUGGGCGGAAGCCUGAACCAGCCAAGUAGCGUGCAGGAUGACGGCCCUAUGGGUUGUAAACUGCUUUUAUACAGGAAUAAAGUUAGCCACGUGUGGUUAUUUGUAGGUACUGUAUGAAUAAGGACCGGCUAAUUCCGUGCCAGCCGCCGCGGUAA